AUUCACGGCCUAUCAGCUUGUUGGUGAGGUAAUGGCUCACCAAGGCGACGACGGGUAGCCGGCCUGAGAGGGUGACCGGCCACACUGGGACUGAGACACGGCCCAGACUCCUACGGGAGGCAGCAGUGGGGAAUAUUGCACAAUGGGCGCAAGCCUGAUGCAGCAACGCCGCGUGGGGGACGAAGGCCUUCGGGUUGUAAACCCCUUUUAGCGGGGAAGAAGCGCAAGUGACGGUACCUGCAGAAAAAGCACCGGCUAACUACGUGCCAGCAGCCGCGGUAAUACGUAGGGUGCAAGCGUUGUCCGGAAUUAUUGGGCGUAAAGAGCUCGUAGGCGGUGUGUCGCGUCUGCUGUGAAAAUCCAAGGCUCAACCUUGGACCUGCAGUGGGUACGGGCACACUAGAGUGCGGUAGGGGAGAUUGGAAUUCCUGGUGUAGCGGUGGAAUGCGCAGAUAUCAGGAGGAACACCAAUGGCGAAGGCAGAUCUCUGGGCCGUAACUGACGCUGAGGAGCGAAAGCGUGGGGAGCGAACAGGAUUAGAUACCCUGGUAGUCCACGCCGUAAACGGUGGGAACUAGAUGUGGGGUCCGUUCCACGGAUUCCGUGUCGCAGCUAACGCAUUAAGUUCCCCGCCUGGGGAGUACGGAAUCGUCGACCCGCAAGGCCCCCAAC
rnacentral:rRNA from 1 species